rnacentral:lncRNA from 1 species
UCGAAUAAAAAACUUGAUUUGAUUAGAAUAUGUAAUGCCUACACGCUAAUAAUAAUAACCGGGCAUACACAUUUUGGACCGGUUGUUUGGGUCCAAUAAAUUAUUAUUGCUAGCGGGUUAGAUUUUACAUUAAUAGACCCUAAUAAUUUUACUAUUUGAUACAAAUUUGGCUGAUAAAAUUUCAGUGGGAAGCUCCUCAAUG